GGAAGCGUGGGCCUCGGCUUCCACGAGCGGGGCCGAAAGACGGCGGGGCUCGCGCCGAGAAGAAAGGCCCAGAACCACUACGGCCGCGCGGGCCUGGCCCCCACCGCGCUCGCGGCGGUGGGGGGAGUAGUGGUUGUUUUUUCCGGGUUCUUCCUUGCUCUUUCUCUCGGAACAAGAGUAUAUACUUCAGCGAGCCGAGGGGUGGAGGCGAGGACGACUCGGUUCGCGGAGUUUCGGUCCCCACGGGCGCCUCGCAGGGCUUCCUGCUUUAACGGCUGGGCAUUAACCCUUGACCAAAAGCAACACGGACCUUUUCAGUUUUUCCAAGCGCGAGUGGAGUCGAAUUGCCAGGUUUCCGAGCCGGGGCCCAGAGAUGUAAAUCCCCUCGCCCGAGGUUGUGCGCCCUUGCGGCGCCGGGAUGCCACCCGUCUCUGCCCAGUGCUGCCUUGCCUUAUCCCCACUCUCAGCUUAAACACCUCUGUCCUUCCGGAUCCUGCUCAGAUUCUCAUUGUGGUGCCCUCCUGGAACUUUCCCCCAAUAGUCCUUCCUCUGAAUUCCCACGGUAGUUGGGUAACUUUAUGAUACUGUGUACCCACUCUCUUGUAUCAGACUGUGUUUGCUAUCUCGAGCGUAUUGUGGGCCUUGAGAGCAAAGGUUCAGUCAUCUUGCGUUGAUCAUCUUUCUAUUUCCAGUGCUUACUUAGGGCUUGGCUCAUUGUUAGAUGCUCAAUAAAUGUGCACUGAGGCAGCUUUCUGGUGUAGUCCAGGGCUCUUUCCACCAAACCAUGAGUACGUUGGUUUACCGGGUAGUACCCCGUUCCUUGGGUAUAUAAACACCUGACCCAUGCUGUGGGCCGCUGUGAAGGGAGAAGAAUCUGUAAUUACUUGAAAACACUGUUGACAUUUGACUGAUUGAAUUUUUGGGUUGCUCUUAGCCACCAUCCUGGGCAUGCCAGCAGAGAUGAGGACAUUUCUAGAAGUCUGCAAAGCCAGGCAUAAGUGACAUUUUGUCUAAUUCUUCCGCUCUCAAUAUUUUCAUAGUCAUAAAUGGAGAUAAGUGAAAUUGAAGGGGACGACUAAAAGAGAGGUCAUCAAAGGAUGACAGGUAGUCUGAGUGGUGUUUGAGAUAAUGUACAGCUGACUUUGAAGGAGGGAGAUUAGGGGGAUGGGUUAGAGAUGCCCUCCUCCCCCCCCCCCCCAGUAGAAAAUCCAGCUGUAACUUUUGAUUCCCCCCAAACUUACCUAUUAAUAGCCUACUUCUGAUUGGAAGCCUUACUGAUAACAUGAAUAGUUGAUUAACACAUAUUUUAUGCCUUGUAUUAUACACUAUAUUCUUUUAAAAAAAUUUUAAUGUUUAUUUUAUUUUUAUUUUUGAGACAGACACAGAACAUGAGCGGGGGAGGGGCUGAGAGAGGAGACAGAAUCCAAAACAGGCUCGGGGCUCUGAGCUGCCAGCACACUACCCGUCCUGGGGCUCGAACUCGUCAACCUGGAGAUCAUGACCUGAGCCGAAGUUGGACGCUAAACCGAUUGAGCCACCGGGUGCCCCAAUACAUACUAUAUUCUUAACAAUUGAAAGCUCUUUCAGCGUGGGGACUUUUCAUAUCCGGAACAGUGUAUGGUACAUCCACGUGCUCAAUGUUUGUGGAGUGAAUAAAUAGUUACCUCCUUUUC